rnacentral:tRNA from 1 species
GCCGUUAUAGCUCAGUUUGGUAGAGCGCGCGCCUUUUAAGCGCGUGGUCCUGGGUUCAAGCCCCAGUAACGGCA